UACAGAGGGUGCGAGCGUUAAUCGGAAUGACUGGGCGUAAAGGGCGUGUAGGUGGAAUUGUAAGUUAUAGGUGAAAUCCCCGGGCUUAACCUGGGAACUGCCUAUAAAACUGCGGUUCUAGAGUAUAGGAGAGGGAAGUGGAAUUUCCGGUGUAGCGGUGAAAUGCGUAGAUAUCGGAAGGAACACCAGUGGCGAAGGCGACUUUCUGGCCUAAUACUGACACUGAGGCGCGAAAGCGUGGGUAGCAAACAGG
rnacentral:misc_RNA from 1 species